rnacentral:rRNA from 1 species
GAUGAACGCUGGCGGCGUGCCUAAUACAUGCAAGUCGAGCGAACAGACGAGGAGCUUGCUCCUCUGACGUUAGCGGCGGACGGGUGAGUAACACGUGGAUAACCUACCUAUAAGACUGGGAUAACUUCGGGAAACCGGAGCUAAUACCGGAUAAUAUAUUGAACCGCAUGGUUCAAUAGUGAAAGACGGUUUUGCUGUCACUUAUAGAUGGAUCCGCGCCGCAUUAGCUAGUUGGUAAGGUAACGGCUUACCAAGGCAACGAUGCGUAGCCGACCUGAGAGGGUGAUCGGCCACACUGGAACUGAGACACGGUCCAGACUCCUACGGGAGGCAGCAGUAGGGUACCGUCCGCAAUGGGCGCGAGCCUGCCGGAGCAACGCCGCGUGAGUGAUGAAGGUCUUCGGAUCGUAAAACUCUGUUAUUAGGGAAGAACACAUGUGUAAGUAACUAUGCACGUCUUGACGGUACCUAAUCAGAAAGCCACGGCUAACUACGUG